GUGGUGAGGUUCUGCUCUCUCGCCCGACGUUGCUACUGCUGUGAGUGUGCAUUGGUUCCUAUUUUUGUGGCUUAAGGCAUUGAAUUCAUCACUAAGUGUAGUCAUGGUUGGUUACCUUCCGGGUCCUCUCUCUAUGUCUUGCCAAGACAAACUGAUGGAGCGAGACCUAUCAGAUUUUAAGAUUCUAAACUUCUUUCAGAAAGCUGUGUUGUCAUGUGUAUUGUUACAUCAAUUAAUUUUGUCAUGUUUAUGAAUUGCAGCUUGAAACACUACACACCGACCCAUUACAAUGGCCAAGGAGAACGGCGGAAAGUGCGGCAACUGCGACUGCGCAGCGGGCACCUGCGCCAAGGAGAAUGGCGGCAAGUGCGGCAACUGCGAUUGCGCCGCAGGUUCUACUUCACAACCCUUAAUCCGUCACGACAGUCCUCAUCAGACAGGCAUAGGCUAAGCGCGUCAACUAGAGAACACAACCAUAUUCCUCGUCAUAUCUUGCUUUUCCGCUCACUAUAAUGGCGCAAACCAAAAGGUCGUCCUUGCAUGAUUUGCCGGCUUUUUUUGAACAUAUUACCAUGCAUGCCGCGUGAAAUUGUCGCUGACUGUGGCUAUGGUGGAGUUGACCCGUCAGGAACCUGCGCGAAGGAGAAUGGAGGCAAGUGCGGCAACUGCGACUGCGCUGCUGGAACUUGUGCCAAGGAAUAGACUAUCACCAAACAUGAUCGAUAGAUCAGGAGUGUAGACAAAAAAAUAUAUAUCUAAAAAAGAAAAGAAAAAAAGGUCCAUGUACCACUUACAUGAAUCUGUAUGUAUUGUGAGACUUAUAUUCGCAGUUGCCGCACCAUGGAUUGGAUUAGAAAGGCUAGCUGCGACGGGGGUGUGAGCAAAAAACGGAGAAGUGUAGUUGCAAUUUAAGAAAAAUUUGUAUCGCGUGUGUUCAUUGAAUAAAACCAGAGUGUGCUCCGGCACACACCUCCUUCUUUGG
rnacentral:lncRNA from 1 species